rnacentral:misc_RNA from 1 species
GAUGAAGAACGCAGCGAAAUGCGAUAAGUAAUGUAAAUUGCAGAAUUCAGUGAAUCAUCGAAUCUUUGAACGCACAUUGCGCCCGCCAGUAUUCUGGCGGGCAUGCCUGUUCGAGCGUCAUUUCAACCAUCAAGCCCCCGGCUUGUGUUGGGGACCUGCGGCUGCCGCAGGCCCUGAAAAGCAGUGGCGGGCUCGCUGUCACACCGAGCGUAGUAGCAUACAUCUCGCUCUGGGCGUGCUGCGGGUUCCGGCCGUUAAACCACCUUCAUAACCCAAGGUUGACCUCGGAUCAGGUAGGAAGACCCGCUGAACUUAAGCAUAUCAAUAAGCGGAGGA